rnacentral:tRNA from 1 species
GUGGUGGCUCAGUGGUAGAGCAGUUAUCUAGCAUUUGUGAGGCACUGGGUUCGAUUCUCAGUGCCACA